rnacentral:rRNA from 1 species
UACGUAGGGGGCAAGCGUUAUCCGGAUUUACUGGGCGUAAAGCGCGUUAAGGCGGCCGGCUAAGUUGGUGGUGAAAUUCCAGGGCUCAACCCUGGAACUGCCUCCAAUACUGGUCGGCUCGAGUGCGAGAGAGGAAGGUGGAAUUCCCGGUGUAGUAGUGAAAUGCGGUAGAUAUCGGGAGGAACACCAGUGGCGAAGGCG